rnacentral:tRNA from 4 species
GCUGGGGUGGUGAAAUGGCAGACACGCCAGCCUUAGGAGCUGGUGCCGCAAGGCAUGGAGGUUCAAGUCCUCUCCCCAGCA